rnacentral:rRNA from 1 species
CUUGGUGCAUAAAACUAAGGGGAAACACCUGUUACCAUCCCGAACACAGCAGUUAAGUCCUUAGUACUGACAAUAGUUUUACGAGCGAAGAUAGGGAGUGCCAAGAAUUGCUUAAAUAAAUAAA